CCCUGGCUCCCCACCUGCAGGGGGAGUUGCUUCACAAGUGGUGAAGCAGGUCUGCAGGUGUCUAUCUUUCUCUCCUCUCUGUCUUCCCCUCCCUCUCUCCAUUUCUCUCUUUCCUAUCCAACAACAACAAAAACAAUAAUAACUACAACAAUAAAACAACAAGGGCAACAAAAGGGAAAAAAUAAAUAAAAUAAAUAUUAAAAAAAA